CCCCUGUCUGUUUUGGUCCUUUAUUUUGUGCCUUCCCUGCUUUGUUCAGUUUUGUUAAACCCCUUUGUGUCUCGGAACCGCCAGGAGAUCAUCACCCUCAUUUCUGCCUGCACCAUGCCCCAAGUCUGUGACAAUAGGCGUGCACAUAUGCUGUCAUCCAGACUUAGAAAACGACUUGGAAAGGAAGCAACAAAUUAACGAACCAAUCAGGCAGACAGUUACUGAGGGAGCUGAUGGCUCCAUUUCAGCAUAUGAGAUUUAACGCCCAGGAAGUUGCUAUUUGAUCGAAGAACAUG